GUUGGGAACCUGGGCUUGCUCAUAGUGAGCAACAAGUUCUGUAGGGAGCAGCGUGGGUUAAACAGCAGGAUCUACAGAGUCCUACCCUGGAUUUCUCCUGGCCCUUUCUUCUCCUCUGAUGGCUCCAUCUCUUUAUUCCCUCAGGAAAGGACACCAUGGCCUCCAUAGGACAGACCCGCAACUUCCUAAGCAGGGCCUCUUGCCGCCUUCGUUUGGAGCCUAACAAAGAGUACUUGAUCAUGGGGCUGGACGGGGAAACCAGUGACAACAAGGGAGACCCCCAGUACUUGCUGGACUCAAACACCUGGAUUGAGGAAAUGCCUUCGGAACACCUGUGUAAGAGCACCCGCCAGCGGGCAGCCUGUACCCAGCUCAAGGACUUCCUGAGGGAGUACAGCAGCCGGGGGUGCCAGGUUUGAGGCCGUACGACUCUGGCUCCCUGAGCUCAGCCCAGGGUCAGGGCCUCUCUGGAUGAGGGGCUCUGCUCUACAGGGUAAAUAAAAGAAAAGCUUUGGACAGCCAA
ensembl:processed_transcript